rnacentral:rRNA from 1 species
UACGGAGGGAGCUAGCGUUGUUCGGAAUUACUGGGCGUAAAGCGCGCGUAGGCGGUUUUUUAAGUCAGAGGUGAAAGCCCAGUGCUCAACACUGGAACUGCCUUUGAAACUGGAAAACUUGAAUCUUGGAGAGGUCAGUGGAAUUCCGAGUGUAGAGGUGAAAUUCGUAGAUAUUAGGAAGAACACCAGUGGCGAAGGCGGCUCACUGGCCCGGUACUGACGCUGAGACGCGAAAGCGUGGGGAGCGAACAGG